rnacentral:misc_RNA from 1 species
GUUCUGCUCCAGUCUGGGCCACUUGGGGUGGAAGAGGGUUUAAGGGGCUAAUGGUCAGCAAGAGAAGCGUAGUUUUCUUGGCGUCUGAAUUUGAGAGCUGAAUAUGUUGAGGCAUCCAGAAAUAGGAAGCACCNNNNNNNNNNNNNUCUGAAAGCUCUUCUCGUUGAUGGCUCUCUUCUCGGACUGGCCGUUCCUGGCAUGGAAGCUAAUGAAUGCACGAAAUGACCUGAUCUUUAAUGAUAAACAAUGGAACACCAGAAGUAUGAAUUAAUCAGUACUCUGAAGCAGAGAAUUGCUUCACCAA